rnacentral:miRNA from 1 species
AUCCGUGCUGAGAUUUCGUCU